AACGCACCUUGCGCUCCCUGGUAUUCCGGGGAGCACGCCUGUUUGAGUGUCAUGGUAUUCUCAACCUUCAAAACUUUUUGUAUUGAAGGCUUGGACUUGGAGGCUUGUGCUGGCUCUCGUUAGUCGGCUCCUCUGAAAUGCAUUAGCGUGAAUGUUAUGGAUCGCUUCGGUGUGAUAAUUAUCUGCGCCGUGGUCGUGAAGUAUUUGAAGUUUGCGCUUCUAACCGUCCUUCACUGGACAACUUACCCUUGACAUUUGACCUCAAAUCAGGCGGGACUACCCGCUGAACUUAA
rnacentral:misc_RNA from 1 species